GUGGGAGCCUCUUUUAUGGGGUGACUGCGUACCUUUUGUAUAAUGGGUCAGCGACUUAUAUUCUGUAGCAAGGUUAACCGAAUAGGGGAGCCGAAGGGAAACCGAGUCUUAACUGGGCGUUAAGUUGCAGGGUAUAGACCCGAAACCCGGUGAUCUAGCCAUGGGCAGGUUGAAGGUUGGGUAACACUAACUGGAGGACCGAACCGACUAAUGUUGAAAAAUUAGCGGAUGACUUGUGGCUGGGGGUGAAAGGCCAAUCAAACCGGGAGAUAGCUGGUUCUCCCCGAAAGCUAUUUAGGUAGCGCCUCGUGAAUUCAUCUCCGGGGGUAGAGCACUGUUUCGGCAAGGGGGUCAUCCCGACUUACCAACCCGAUGCAAACUGCGAAUACCGGAGAAUGUUAUCACGGGAGACACACGGCGGGUGCUAACGUCCGUCGUGAAGAGGGAAACAACCCAGACCGCCAGCUAAGGUCCCAAAGUCAUGGUUAAGUGGGAAACGAUGUGGGAAGGCCCAGACAGCCAGGAUGUUGGCUUAGAAGCAGCCAUCAUUUAAAGAAAGCGUAAUAGCUCACUGGUCGAGUCGGCCUGCGCGGAAGAUGUAACGGGGCUAAACCAUGCACCGAAGCUGCGG
rnacentral:rRNA from 1 species